GGCGAGAUGGCCGAGCGGUCUAAGGCGCCAGACUAAGGCCAAAGCAGUUUCUGCUUAUGUAAUCUGGUCUCUUUCGAGGCGUGGGUUCGAAUCCCACUUUCGUCA